rnacentral:misc_RNA from 1 species
AUUCCGUAGGUGAACCUGCGGAAGGAUCAUUAAUGAGUUGUCAUGGGGUUCGAUGCUGGCAGCCAGUUUUUGGAUGCAUGUGCUUGCCCUAACAAUCAUCUUCUUCCAAACACCUGUGCACAUUUUUGAGGGAGUCUUGAGUUGGUUGCCGCUCUUGGGUGAUUUUCUCACAUUCCCUUAAAUCAUUAUACGCUAUUAACAAUGUUGAACGUGCUCUGUGCCGCAAGGCCAUUAAUAUAAUACAACUUUUAACAACGGAUCUCUUGGCUCUC